rnacentral:lncRNA from 1 species
GCCCAAUACGAGCGGUCUGCCGAACAGGACUCGACACGUUCGAAAGCCCAGCGCGAACCGAGUACGAUGCCCUACCACGUCCUUCGCCCACACGGAGCUACUUAUAGACGAGGCUGGCAGGCGGUUUACAAACCGCCUGCGCGCGUGCGGCGCACGAGCAGUUGCGUGGCAAACGACCGUGUCUGAAGCCCAAACCCGCCGAGGCAGCCGCCCUCGCAGCGCGCCGCUUCAGCGGGCGCCGCAGGACGGACUCUAGCCUGGCAGAGGGCAUCGUCUCGUGUGGCGUCGGCCCUGCCCCAACUGGAGUGGCACAGUCUUUUCGGGGCAGGGACUGCGAAGCACUUGGACCGACGGCGGACUACGACGGAACGCUUCAUCUCCGCCAACGGGCAAACCCCGCUUCGAGGGAGCCACUUUCCGCUUCGCGGCGACUAUUCCGUCGUGCCGUGUCUUCGCGCUCGCAGACGGGCGCACUCGCGUAACCGCAUCACUACCGCUUCGGGGCGCACCCUUGUCCUCCCCGUUCCGCGCAAGAAUCUUUUCCGAUUCCUAUUCCUGCGACGAAACCGGGACUAGGGCGCCUGCACCCGUGCGGUGACGCGGACGAGCGACCUUUGCAGGAGCUCGACGUACUCCGAAGGCAAACAACGCAACGUGCG